ensembl:lncRNA
AGACACUCAUUGCCGGAGAAAGUACUCACAAAAGUCAUAAAAACAGAGUGACAGCCUUACAGUCAACGUCACACUUGACCCAGUUUACAGACCCAAAAACCCUUGAAUAAAGAGGAGGCCAGAUCACCUUGAGGAAAGACCCUACUGUGCUGCCAAAAAUACACACUGAAUCUUCCAGCCUUCCCUCACGGGACCCGGGGCCUUUUACCACGGUGAUUAUGCUUUGGGGAAAAGGAAAUAAUUAGACUUUUCAAGAAUUCUGAACACGCAGCUCCAAACUGACCCUGAUUUCAGGAGACCCAAAACAUCACUGUGAUCCACCAGUCAGAGCAGGCCUUGAGGAGGUCAGCUGACCAGAGGUUUUCUGGCUCAGGCCUGGAGUCUGAAAGUCAUGGAUCGAGGUGCCAGCAGACUUCAUUUCAAGGGAGAGCUCUCAGAUGUUUCACUGAUGUCUGAUGUGGUUUCAACGCUUGAGAACUUACACAUCCCUGGCACCUGGUUUGCAGAUGUUGAUCUGACAGAUGCUGUUCUCUCCCUCCCCUGUCAGUAAAGACCCCCAGGAGCAGUUGGCUUUCAUCUGGCAAGGCCAGCACCACACCGUCACUGACCUAUCUCAGGUGUGGGCACGCUGCCUUUUCUCUGAAGAAAGGCUGCUCAUUGGACGGAUGUUCUUGAAACGAUUAAGCAGAACAAAGGGAAGCCAGUGCCUUGUGUGCAAGACACACAGAAAGGUCGCUUUGCCGAGUAGCUGGAAUCAGCCGUGGAAACUUCCUGAGCCCUUUGUGUUCCAAGGUUCCAGGAGAGGAGCAAAAUUUCCAGGUCACCGAUAUUUGCCCUGCAGGAAAGCCUGGUGUGAGGGGAGCGGAUGGUUUUAACACUUGAGAUACAGAAGAACAUCCCUGAAAACAACGUGCUCCACAACAAGGGAAGCCACCAAAAUGAGAAGGCUGCGUGUGGCAAUGAAAACCCG